GGGGAUACCCCCACCUGAAAAUUUGGGGUAAAAAACCCCAAGUUUGGGGUUUUUUUGGGGGUAAAAAACGUCAAAAUUUGGGUUUUUUUAGAGGGAAAAAGCUCCAAAAUUUGGGGUAAAAAAACCCUCAAAAUUCGGGUUUUUUUGGGGGUAAAAAGCUCAAAAUUUGGGUUUUUUUAAGAGGGGAAAACCUUAAAAUUUGGGUUUUUUUAGAGGAAAAAAACCUCAAAAUUUGGGGUAAAAAACCCCCUCAAAAUUCGGGGGUUUUUUUGGGUAAAAAGCUCAAAAUUUGGGGUUUUUUUUAAGAGGGGAAAACCUUAAAAAUUGGGGUAAAAAACCCCUCAAAAUUCGGGUUUUUUUAGGGUAAAAACCCUCAAAAUUUGGGUUUUUUUUAGAGGAAAAAACCUCAAAAUUUGGUUAAAAAACCGCUCAAAAUUUGGGUUUUUUUAGAGGGAAAAACCUCAAAAUUUGAGGGUUUUUUUUGGAGUAAAAACCUCAAAAUUCGGGUUUUUUUUGGGGGUAAAAACCCUCAAAAUUUGGCUUUCUUUAGAGGUAAUAGCCUCAAAAUUUGGAGGAAAAAAACCUCAAAAUUUGGGGUAAAAAACCCCUCAAAAUUCGGAUUUUUUUAGGGUAAAAAACCUCAAAAUUCGGAUUUUUUAAGAGGAAAAAAAUCCUCAAAAUUUGGGGUAAAAAACUCAAAAUUUGGGGGUUUUUUUUGGGGUAAAAACCUCAAAAUUUUUGGGAUUUUGGGGGUGAAAGGGGGAGGGGGAGACCCCAAAAAUUAAAGACGAAUCCGGAAGAUUUUUCUGGAAUUUUUAUUUGGAAAAGACAAAAUUGGGGAGGGGGAGACCCCAAAAUCCCCUCGGGGGGGGAUGGGGAGACCCCCAGGGGGAUUUUGGGGUCCCGGUCACACCUGGGGGGGUCUCGGGUGGGAUUUUGGGGUCCCCAGGUGAAUUUUGGGGGGAUUUUGGGGGUCCCCAGGUGAAUUUUGAGGGUCCCCAGGUGGAUUUGGGGGUCCCCAGGUGAAUUUUGGGGGUCCCCAGGUGAAUUUGAGGGUCCUCAGAUGGAUUUUGG
ensembl:lncRNA